CCCUAGCCCAGAUAGUAACGAAAAUCCUAUUGUGCUAGCCCCGAAGCUUCGGGGCGGCACAAUAGAUUGAAGUGGAUAGCUGGAAAAAGC
rfam:Flavobacterium frigoris strain DSM 15719 genome assembly, contig: Ga0131223_102